AGGCACAAACUUCUUCAAACCUACACUGCUGGUCUAGCAAGACUUUUGCCUGUGUCAGUGAAUGUGAGUUAGGAGCUCAGAGGAAAGCCAGUAACUCCUGUGUCGUGAAGAAUAUGUCUCCAGACAGACAAGCUUCCUGUGCUACUGAGCAGUUCUCUAUAGGAAACCAUGGAAAAGCAGACGAGGAAGAAACACUUGGGAAGAAGAGAUCAGCAGCAAAGAACACAUGGAAAAAGGAAAGAGAGGCUGUCAGGAAAACAGACCUAUUCAGUUUACUAAGAAACAUCCUAGAGAUAACCCUUCAGAAGAAGCAGUAGCUGGAGCUUGCAUUCAUUGCCAAUCAGUAAAAGUCUUCAGAAGAUAAAGCGCAGGCCUAAAGCACAUAAUUCUCACAGCACAUUUGGACUGCCUCCCGUGCUCUGCCUCCAGCAGCCUAUGCUUCCCUCACUGUGGAGCUGGUCCCUGAGGAACAGGUAAGCACGAGCCCCACAUUAGCAACAUGCUGCAUCAGCUCCACUCUUUGGAAUGAGAUUUGGAGAAAGCCACAGCUAAGACAAUGCAACACCUGAUUAAUUUAAGAUACAGCAGAAGAAUCCCAGCUUUCAGCCUACAAAAGGACAGCUCACAAGGCUCCUCAUCCCCUGCUUUUCACCCAGGUCCUUGUUGGAAAGAUCACACUGCUGUGCUGCCAGUGCUGAGAGGAAGCAGCUGACGGUCUCAUUCAUCUCCCAGCUGCAUCACUCCCCUUCUUUCAGCCCAUCACAGCUGGGGAAGGAAGUGUCCUCCUGCUGUUUCCUUCCCUACCUCCCACCCCCUUUACAAAUGACAUUCUUGUGCCACCUUGCUCUCCCAUUCUUUCUACAGAAGCGAUAAAAGUGUAACUCCAGCUACUUACACUAAUACAUUCUAUUUGCAAUCACUGUAAUAAAUCAGUAUGACUAGCACUGUUGUAAUAUGAACAAAUAUUGGAAAUUUAAGGCCCCAUCUACUUUUUGUUGCUUUGUAGGAGUGGGGGGGGGGACUUGUAGCAUUUGUAGGAGUGCUAUUUAUUUACAGUAUCUCCAAAUGACAUGGUUUAAUUCACUCGUGCAUUCUUACACAAAUUUUGUCUAUUUAC